GGCUGCCUCAUCCUCGUGUCUCUUCGUCAGCCGGGUAAUAUAUCGCUCACUUAUCCUCGUGUGCGCCGUUAUAUACGUGUGUAGUGUGCGGGCAGCGAGGCGAAGGCCCUGGGCAGCGUUAGGGAGGCCGAGGCACUUGGGGCGAGAGGAAGAGGCGGUUGCAGCCAUGAGUGGCGGCCUGGCACGGAUGGGCUGGCAAGGGGGCGGCUGAGGAGGCCCUGAAGAAGCUGGCAGUGUCUGUCUGUGUGGGUGUGUCUCUCUAGAACGCCGGUGUGUGGCGAGCUGUGGUCGGCGCCAGUCAUCACGGAGCUGUAAUGACCCACUCGCCCAGGUGGACAGAGACAGCAGCAUGAGACAACGCUUCCUGUCAGUCCACCCUCAGGAGCUGUCUGUUCUGUUGGGGGUAUUGACCCACUCGGCAAGGUGGAGAGAGACAGCAGUACAAAACAGCGCUGCCUGUCAGUCCACCCUCAGGAGCUGUCUGUUCUGUUGGGGGUAUUGACCCACUCACCAAGGUGGAGAGAGACAGCAGUACAAAACAACGCUGCCUGUCAGUCCACCCUCAGGAGCUGUCUGUUCUGUUGGGGGUAUUGACCCACUCACCAAGGUGGAGAGAGACAGCAGCAUGAGACAACGCUGCCCAUCGGUCCACCUUCAGGAGCUGCCUGUUCUGUUGUGGGAGAAGAGAUGUUAGUCACCCCUGAAGAAUUUUCCACUGAAUUGAGACCAGGGUUGGCAAUGAUUAAAUCAAAUUGAUUUAAUCAAAUGAUUAAAUCAUUGAUUU